rnacentral:rRNA from 1 species
AUGGCCAUUCUAGAUGAGCAGGAUGAAGAGGAUGAUUUUAAUAAAGUUGCUGAAAGCUCGAGGAAUGAGUUAAGCAAUGUCGGGCAACUGAUUCAUCAAACCCUGAGGGACACCAAGUUGAUGAUGGUUUUUCUUAAUGGAAGUGAUGAAGAGGUUGAUGUAGGCACCUUUGGCAUUCCUCUUACAAGAUUUGACAGCAAUGUAAUGAUUUGGACCUUCAGCAGAAGAUGCUUGACCAUUGAUUCGGACCCUUACAAGGUAGGAGGCAAGCUUAGAUAUACUCAUGCUUUGCUUCGUACCUUUUGUUCUCUCACAAUGCUAAGGAGGGCAGAGUUUCUUGGACUGCUGCAUCAAAAAGUUGCUACCAUAGUUGCUCGCAAUCCAUUUGUACUAAAACUCGACCCAACAAUGGUAGUAGAUUGUUGUCUCUACGAGUUAUUCCUGCAUUGUAGUUUCCACACCAUCACCGAAUAUAAAUGGGUUGGUCAUGCUUCCAACUUUUGGAUAUGCGAUGGAAUCAUACAAGGAAACAUAGCAAGGGAUAUAAGUAAUUCUUUAGAUAGAGAGAUACACUGGGAGUGUGAUUCAUCAUCGGGUCGUUGUCUGCUUUAUCACUUCAUGCCAUGCCGUUGGACAUCAAUACAUCCAGAUAAUAUACAAGAACAUGAAUACGAAGAACUACCCGUGGAAACAUCAUCUAUCUUCUUGACAUUUACAAGUUCUCGCAGACCAGUGUUUUCAAAUGGUGCUUUUGAUUAUUACAAGAACCUUGGUGUGCUAAUCAUCAGUUGUUGUGCCUUCAGUUUUGCAUCACCUCCUUUCCAGAAGUGUGAUUCUCUAAGAUUCCUCGGAUUGGACCAUUGUAUAGAUAGUGAAACAGGUAAAGGAGAUGAGACUGCAGAGUGGGCAUGUAUACAUAGCUUAUUGGUGUUGGACCUACGUUACACAGAAUGGAAUGAAGUCUUAUCUGAAGAAAAGCUGGAUCUCAUGACUAAUAUCAGAGAGCUAAACAUAGAAGGGGUCAGGGGAUGGCAGUACACAGCUAACCUACAAUAUCGGCUACCUAACCUCCAGAGGUUCCGAAUAAUCAAACCAACAUAUCAAUGGAAGACAUCAGGGGAUUUUGAUAACUCUUUUAUAGAUAAGACAAGUAUGGAAAUACUCGACUUGUCAGGCAACAGUGACAUGCAAUGUCUUCCAACAAGCCUAUCGGAGGCAAGUAGCCUUCGGUUGCUUGUACUUGAUGGUUGCAGUGGGCUGGAAAACGUUGAAAGACUUCCUUCCUCCCUGGAAUCCUUUAGCUUCAACGGACAUGGGCCAGCUUCUCGAUGGACACAAACUGUUGAGCUACCUCCGACACAAUUCCAGCCGUCCACCACAACAGAUAAUAAGGAUGUUAGAGUGUCUAACAUCUCCUUACAAGGUUGCAGUCAAUUGAAGAACCUGUUUUUGUGUUGGUUACCCAACCUCGUGGAAUUGGACCUCUCUGAAACUGCAAUCAAGGUACUUGACUUCAAUACUAUGUUGGUGCAAGUCCCAGGGCUCAAGCGAUUGUUUCUAAUAGGAUGCAAGGGACUUCGUGCAAUAAUUCCGUUGGCCGAGAGUGGUUCUGAGAUAAAACACGACCUGGAGUUGAUGUGCAUAGACACGCGAGUUGGAAUCGUGUGUUCUCGGCCAUCUGUCAGCAGGACCAAGUCGUUCCGGUUCAAAUUGCAUGUCGUUGCUAUGGAUGCAAGGCUUACUCGCUCUUUGAUGGAUCUGUUGUUGCCUUAUGUACAAAAAGGUUUAAUGAAGGAUGUUUCUUAUAACAUCCAUGUCACCUCCUUACCUGUGAACAAUGGAGUUGAUCAAUUUGAGGCAACCAGGAAGAAUAAAGUUGACCCCGGUGAUCAAGAGAGCUUGCAACAGCUUAUUCCAGCAGACACGUAUAGUGAUGUCCUUACAAUGGUUGGUAGUCCCCCGAUGCAGGAUUUCCCGCAGCCUCCAACGACUACGCAGCUGGAGCAACAUAUGGAGAUUGCUACAGGAAGCUGCUAUGUGCAAAGCGAACUGGACAGAGGACUAGCGAGCUACUAUGCUAAAUCCCUGCAUGUGCAUGACGUAUGGAUACGUGCCUUGAGUGGUGUUCCUGGUUGGUCUGACAAGUAUAUGAUACGUUAUGGGUUUAACUCCCUUAAGUGGUGCUGCGUGGAGAGGUGCCCAAAGUUGGAUGUUUUCUUCCAUUUACAGAUGCAUGGAUUUAAUGAUCUGGAGAUCUUCUGGGCGUCGGAUCUCCCAAUGGCCCACUGGAUAUGGAAGAUUUGGAGUAAACCUCUACCUCUUAACUAUAUAAGCCCCAGUUCCUUUAGAGACCUACAGCACCUACACCUGAGGUCCUGCCCAAGCCUCCAGUUGGUGCUCCCGGUGUGGGUCUCCUCCUUCCCCAACUUGAAGACCCUCCACAUCAUCCAUUGUGGCGACCUCAUGCACGUCUUCGAGCUGAGCACAAAAUACCCAGAGGAAAUAGUCACCCUCGGUGUUCUAUUCCCCAGACUGACCACCAUCCACCUGCACGACCUCCCGAAGCUUCAGAAGAUAUGCGACUUCAAGAUGGUAGCGCCCGCACUCGAGAGCAUCAAGAUUAGGGGAUGUUGGAGUUUGCGUAGGUUGCCAUCCGUGGGCGCCCGUGGCCAAGGCGAGAAGAAGCCGGCGGUCGAGGUCGAGAAGGACGUGUGGGGCGCUCUGGAGUGGGACGACGACCACAGCCCCGACCACUUCGAACCGCCGGUCCACUCCCGCUACUACAAGGAGAAGCUGCCCAAGAUCUCCGUUCUGAGGUGA